UACGUAGGCAGCGAGCGUUGUUCGGAGUUACUGGGCGUAAAGGGUGUGUAGGCGGUUGUUUAAGUUUGGUGUGAAAUCUCCCGGCUCAACUGGGAGGGUGCGCCGAAUACUGAAUGACUUGGAGUGCGGGAGAGGAGAGUGGAAUUCCUGGUGUAGCGGUGAAAUGCGCAGAUAUCAGGAAGAACACCCGUGGCUAAGGCGGCUCUCUAGUACGGUACUGACGCUGAGACGCGAAAGCGUGGGGAGCGAACAGG
rnacentral:rRNA from 1 species